ensembl:misc_RNA
CUUAAGGGGUCUUCCUUCCAGGUCUCCGCCCGGGGGAAGGCGUCGCGCAGCCCCAAAACUUAGCUCUGGUGGGCUGCGUCGCUGACUAAUAGCUCUUGGAUGCUGCCCUGAUCUUACC